rnacentral:tRNA from 1 species
UGGCCCAUCGUAUAACGGCUAUUACCUCGGCCUUUGGAGCCGAAGAUCUUGGUUCGAUUCCAAGUGGGCCUA